GACGAACGCUGGCGGCGUGCUUAACACAUGCAAGUCGAGCGGAAAGGCCCUGCUUGCAGGGUGCUCGAGUGGCGAACGGGUGAGUAACACGUGGGUGAUCUGCCCCUUACUUUGGGAUAAGCCCGGGAAACUGGGUCUAAUACUGGAUAGGACCAUGCUGUAGGUGGUGUGGUGGAAAGAUUAGUUUCGGUAAGGGAUGAGCUCGCGGCCUAUCAGCUUGUUGGUGGGGUAAUGGCCUACCAAGGCGUCGACGGGUAGCCGGCCUGAGAGGGUGGACGGCCACAUUGGGACUGAGAUACGGCCCAGACUCCUACGGGAGGCAGCAGUGGGGAAUAUUGCACAAUGGGCGCAAGCCUGAUGCAGCGACGCCGCGUGGGGGAUGACGGCCUUCGGGUUGUAAACUCCUUGCAGCCAUGACGAAGCCCUUGUGGUGACGGUAGUGGUAGAAGAAGCACCGGCUAACUACGUG
rnacentral:rRNA from 1 species